UACAGAGGGUGCGAGCGUUAAUCGGAAUUACUGGGCGUAAAGCGCACGUAGUCGGCUUUGCAAGUCGGGUGUGAAAUCCCCGGGCUCAACCUGGGAACUGCAUCCGAGACUGCAUUGCUAGAGUCCGGGAGAGGAGAGUGGAAUUCCUGGUGUAGCGGUGAAAUGCGCAGAUAUCAGGAAGAACACCCGUGGCGAAAGCGGCUCUCUGGAACGGUACUGACGCUGAGACGCGAAAGCGUGGGGAGCGAACAGG
rnacentral:rRNA from 1 species